rnacentral:rRNA from 1 species
CUGGCUCAGAUUGAACGCUGGCGGCAGGCUUAACACAUGCAAGUCGAACGAUGGAACCUAGCUUGCUAGGGGAAAUAGUGGCGAACGGGUGAGUAACAUUUAGGAAACUGCCUUAUAGAGGGGGAUAGCUCGGGGAAACUCGAAUUAAUACCGCAUACGUCCUACGGGAGAAAGGAGCUUWARGGUUYUGCUAUAAGAUGUGCCUAAAUUAGAUUAGCUAGAUGGUGAGGUAAAGGCUCACCAUGGCGACGAUCUAUAACUGGUCUUAGAGGAUGAUCAGUCACACCGGAACUGAGACACGGUCCGGACUCCUACGGGAGGCAGCAGUGGGGAAUAUUGGACAAUGGGGGMAACCCUGAUCCAGCCAUGCCGCGUGUGUGAAGAAGGUCAUAAGAUUGUAAAGCACUUUAAGCAGGGAGGAAGA